CGAGUAGGAGGAAGAGGAAGAGGCGGGGCGUCGCCAUGGCGGCCAGGGGCCGAUCCGGCCUGCCGCCGGGGCCCGCCGAGACGGCGGCGAUGAGGGUCUGAAAGAGGGGCCCGGAGGGAGGAUGACCUCCCGGUACACGCGGAAGGCCGUGCCCCCGGACGCCCUGGGCCUCCGAGGACUUUCAAAAAAUACCUUAGACUAUCAUCCCCUGCCAGACUCAUUGGAUGACAGUUAUCCCUCCACUGAAAGUCAGGAAGACAAUUCAAGUGAGUCUGAAAGUACAAAAGAUUUAAACUACCAAUCUGUCACUUCAGUGGAUGAUGGGAUCUCGUGGUCACCUAGUCAGAGCUUCACAGGCACCUCUACGGAAGACAGCUCAGUCUUUUCAUGGGGCUAUGAUGAAUUUGAUAAAGCAGCUACACGGCAAGUUCAACAGAUAUUCAGACACAUUGAUGAGCUUUUGUAUGAACAAAAACCAAGCGUGUUUGUUGAAGGUAUAGAGGAAGAGUGCCAACAAUGGAUGUCAAGCUUCCCCCAUCUCAGGAUUGUAGGAAAACAAGCAGUGAUCCCCACAGAUGAAGGCUACGGGUGGUAUUCUAGUUCAACUUGUAGCACCUUAGAGUCAUCAGACAUGAGCCCAAUGCAAGAGAAAGAUUAUAGUGAGUUUAGCGUUCUGGGUAAGAAGGUUCCUCUUUCUGUUACUUCUACUCAUAAAGAAGAAAAUGUUUCACAACCUCCUGAAUUUUGUUUGUUGGAGAACGAGGAAGGAGAAGAUGGAGUGAUUGUCUCUGAGGGCAUAAUGGAGGAAUAUUUAGCAUUUGACUCCAGAGAAGUGGAAGAAGAGUUGCAUGAGUGGAAAAUGUCGCUUUCACCUGACAGACGAAAGUUAGGUUUCCCUCCUAUCUCACCGUCAUACUGCAUGAGGGAUGCGGUUCUUUCCUAUGUGUUUGAUGAUCUGUGGAGUGAAGUACUGGGGUACAUGGAACAGCUAAUUUGUAGACACUGGGAAGGAUCAGUUUCAGAUGAUGAGAAGAAUGUCUUAACUGUAGAAACAAGCCGAACAGAUUCAGGAAGUCCCUUUAUGCAGUUUGAGCCUUUGCCAUUGUUGUUACCUCGAAUGCCACAAACCAAGUUUCCCUCUAUCACGUCAAAUAUGGUGCAUCUUUCUCAAGGAACGAGUGGUGGGCCACAGCGUAAUUUGAAUGGGUUGAUGUUGAUUCAUGGGAUCCCCUUACACCAAAGGAAUUUGCCUGUGAAGGACAAAAUAUUAGACUUGGAUGACAGAUUGCUUAUGAGACCAGGCUCCAGUUCUAUCCUGUCCGCUAGAACUCGGCCAAAUCGCCCUCAUGAACUCAGUACAUCUUCUCUGUCCUAUUCUGCACAGUCUGCUAGAAGGCGUAACCCACCACCACGUACCCUGCAUCCUAUCAACCCCAGCCAUUCUCGCUCAGGGACACCAAGGCCUAUGGAUGACGUCAUCAGGGGAACACGACUCUCCGCUGCAAAUGAGCAAUUGUCGUCACCUUCCCCUAUGCCACUGAGCAGAAAUAAUCUCCUGCCUCCUAUUAGUGCUGUCGAUAUGACAGAACAUAUGGGAUCCCAAAAACAAAUGAAAUCCCGUGGAAAUGCUAGCAGGGCUCGCAGUGCAAUAGCAGAUGAAAUCAACCAUCAGCCUGUUCAUGAAAGACUUUUAUUUCCUGAAAGUUUCUCCAGACCCAACACAUCACAUGCAUUUUGGGUAAGCCAGAUUCACAGUAUCGCCGUUCUUGCACUGUUAUUGAUUAUGCUAAUCAGCCACGAAACAGUAAAGGAUCUGCUGGCACAGAUUCUAUUAACGCAGGAGUAAUGGGAAUCAGUUUAGGGUUAUCCAGCUCUUCUUAUAUUAACUCUUUCCACCACCAGCCUCUUGGUCAUUUUCUUAAUGAGGAUGAGGAGGACAAAGAAGUUCAUCCUCCAUUGGUAGGGCUUCAGUUACAUGGUUCUGUGAGAACUCACGGCCGAGGUGGAUCAAAAAGCAGACAGGGUCUGUAAAGCAUCAAGAGAAGCAGCCAUCCAUUUCCAAGAUGAGGGAGCAUUUACAGAAGCUUUUGAAAUCAGUAUUCAACUGUAGCAAUAUCAAACCUGUUUACAGAAGAACUUCAAACCUUUCUUUACAAGGGUCUUAUUUUUGUUUAAACUAGCUGCCAAAGACUGCAAGGCUGUCUGGGAAUUUUGUUCCUCUAGAUCAGCUACGUCGUUCUGUGGGAUACUGAAAGCUUGCGUUUUAGAAAUCUACUAAACUCAAGAGUCUCAUUGGUUAAUGUUUGACCAGAACAAAUGACUGUCUUAAUAGGAGUCAUGAUAUUGUUAACACACAAAUGAUUUGCCAAUUAAUGGUACUUAAUAGCAAUAUAUUUUGUAAUAUUAGAUUGCUGCUUGGACAAACUUCUGCUAUUACCUCUAAUUAUAUGAAAGUUGUCAGUACCAGUUGAUCCUAUGUUUCAGAAAAGAUUCAGAAACUGAUGUCUAAAAGGGGGCCAAGACUUAAAGCUUACAGCAUACUUAGUUUUUUCGGUUGUUAUUUUAUUUAAAUAUAGAGUUCCCUCUUUCCUCAAUUAGAUCUAUACUCUUCAGCCAUUGACCUAAGACUACAGGGGACUAUUACAGUUAUGUAUGUAAUUUCAGUACUUUUUUGUUUUGUUUUGUUUUAAAUGGAGCAAGAAGUUUGGUAAAAACUUACAGGGAACUGUUUUUGUGCACUUCUCAAUUACAGGGUUCCUUUACUGGGGAGAAAUUUUCUACACUUUGUAGGAGACAUGCCUGGUGAGAGAUGUUAACUUAGAAAUAGUUAAGGAAAAGCAUAGCCUACAAUGAAUAUUUAAUGUCUGAUGUAAUUUUAGUAACUCAGCAGAUUAGCUCUAGGUCUUAACUAGUCAAAAUAAGUGCCAGACUGCAAAUAUUUCAAGCAAUUUAAAAUAAAGAUAGCUUUGCAUUUUAUUCUAGAUACCAUGUGAAAGCUGUAAAUGCCAGAAUAGGGAAAAGAUUUCUUAAAUUGUAAUAUGGAAUAACUUUUGUAUGCAAAUAAAAAUAUUUUCUAA